CCUACGGGAGGCAGCAGUGGGGAAUAUUGGACAAUGGGCGCAAGCCUGAUCCAGCAAUGCCGCGUGAGUGAUGAAGGCCUUAGGGUUGUAAAGCUCUUUUACCAGGGGAUGAUAAUGACAGUACCUGGAGAAUAAGCUCCGGCUAACUCCGUGCCAGCAGCCGCGGUAAUACGGAGGGAGCUAGCGUUGUUCGGAAUUACUGGGCGUAAAGCGUACGUAGGCGGUUAUUCAAGUCAGAGGUGAAAGCCCGGGGCUCAACCCCGGAACUGCCUUUGAAACUAGGUAGCUAGAAUCUUGGAGAGGUCAGUGGAAUUCCGAGUGUAGAGGUGAAAUUCGUAGAUAUUCGGAAGAACACCAGUGGCGAAGGCGGCUGACUGGACAAGUAUUGACGCUGAGGUACGAAAGCGUGGGGAGCAAACAGGAUUAGAUACCCUGGUAGUCCACGCCGUAAACGAUGAUAACUAGCUGUCCGGUCACUUGGUGACUGGGUGGCGCAGCUAACGCAUUAAGUUAUCCGCCUGGGGAGUACGGUCGCAAGAUUAAAACUUAAAAGGAAAUUGACGG
rnacentral:rRNA from 1 species